AUUUCUCUAGUAUCAACUAAGUACAAUUGACUUCCAAUCAAUUAGUUCUGGUAAACCCCAGAGAGAAGUA
rnacentral:tRNA from 1 species